rnacentral:rRNA from 1 species
UAGGGAAUCUUCGGCAAAGGACGAAAGUCUGACCGAGCAACGCCGCGUGAGUGAAGAAGGUUUUCGGAUCGUAAAACUCUGUUGUUAGAGAAGAACAAGGACGUUAGUAACUGAACGUCCCCUGACGGUAUCUAACCAGAAAGCCACGGCUAACUACGUGCCAGCAGCCGCGGUAAUACGUAGGUGGCAAGCGUUGUCCGGAUUUAUUGGGCGUAAAGCGAGCGCAGGCGGUUUCUUAAGUCUGAUGUGAAAGCCCCCGGCUCAACCGGGGAGGGUCAUUGGAAACUGGGAGACUUGAGUGCAGAAGAGGAGAGUGGAAUUCCAUGUGUGGCGAUGAAAUGCGUAGAUAUAUGGAGGAACACCAGUGGCGAAGGCGGCUCUCUGGUCUGUAACUGACGCUGAGGCUCGAAAGCGUGGGGAGCAAACAGG